GGUCAAGUUAUUAAGGGUGCAGGGCGGAUGCCUUGGCACUAGGAGCCGAUGAAGGACGUGAUAAGCUGCGAUAAGCUUCGGGGAGUUGCACGUAAACUUUGAUCCGAAGAUUUCCGAAUGAGGAAACUCACUUAGAGUAAUGUCUAAGUAUCAUUAAGUGAAUACAUAGCUUAAUGAGGGGAACUCAGGGAACUGAAACAUCUAAGUACCUGAAGGAAGAGAAAGAAAUUCGAUUCCGUAAGUAGCGGCGAGCGAACGCGGAUUAGCCCAAACCAAUAAAGUUUUCUUUAUUGGGGUUGCGGACAUAUCAUAACGAAGAGGUAUCGUAAUUGAAGAGGUUUGGAAAGACCCACCACAGAAGGUAAUAGUCCUGUAUGUUAAACGAGAAGACUUCAGAUAUGAUCCAGAGUACCACGGGACACGUGAAACCCUGUGGGAAGCAGGAGGGACCACCCUCCAAGGCUAAAUACUACCUAGUGACCGAUAGCGUAUAGUACCGUGAGGGAAAGGUGAAAAGAACCCCGGGAGGGGAGUGAAAUAGAACCUGAAACCCUGCACUUACAAGCUGUGGAAGCACAUUUCUUGUGUGACCGCGUACUUUUUGUAGAACGGGCCAACGAGUUACGUUAAGUAGCAAGGUUAAGCACUUAAGGUGUGGAGCCGUAGCGAAAGCGAGUUUUAACUGAGCGUUCAGUUACUUGACGUAGACCCGAAACCGGGCGACCUACCCAUGAGCAGGAUGAAGCGAAAGUAAAAUUUCGUGGAGGUCCGAACCCACGAGCGUUGAAAAGCUCGGGGAUGACUUGUGGGUAGCGGUGAAAUUCCAAUCGAGCCCGGAGAUAGCUGGUUCUCCCCGAAAUAGCUUUAGGGCUAGCCUCAAGGUGAGAGAUACGGAGGUAGAGCACUGAAUGUCCUAGGGGGUAUUGCACCUACCGAAGACUAUCAAACUCCGAAUGCCGUCAUCUUAUACUUGGGAGUCAGACUGUGGGUGAUAAGAUUCAUAGUCGAAAGGGCAACAGCCCAGAUCGUCAGCUAAGGUCCCUAAAUGUAAGUUAAGUGGUAAAGGAUGUGGGAUUGCACAGACAACCAGGAUGUUGGCUUAGAAGCAGCCACUCAUUCAAAGAGUGCGUAAUAGCUCACUGGUCGAGUGAUCCUGCGCCGAAGAUUUCCGGGGCUAAAACUUACUACCGAAGCUACGGCAUCAGUAAUGAUGGGUAGGGGAGCUUCCCAUACGGGUUGAAGCAUGACCGUAAGGACAUGUGGACAGUAUGGGAGUGAGAAUGUUGGCAUGAGUAGCGAGAUGUGGGUGAGAAUCCCACAGGCCGUAAACCCAAGGUUUCCAGGGGAAGGUUCGUCCGCCCUGGGUUAGUCGGGACCUAAGCUGAGGCCGAAAGGCGUAGGUGAUGGACAACAGGUUGAUAUUCCUGUACUACCGAUAACCGUUUGAGAGAAGGGAUGACACAGUAGGAUAAGCUAAGCACACUGUUGGUUAUGUGUGCCCAAGCAUUGAGGCAGUCAAAGUAGGCAAAUCCGCUUUGAUAAUGCUGGGAUGUGAUGGGGAGCGAAAUUUAGUAGCGAAGUAGCUGAUUUCACACUGUCAAGAAAAGUCUCUAUCGAGGUUAAAGGUACCCGUACCGCAAACCGACACAGGUGGGUGAGGAGAGUAUCCUAAGGCCAGCGAGAGAACUGUUGUUAAGGAACUCGGCAAAAUGACCCCGUAACUUAGGGAUAAGGGGUGCCACCAUCAGGUGGCCGCAGAGAAUAGGCCCAAGCGACUGUUUACCAAAAACAUAGGUUUCUGCUAAGUCGCAAGACGAUGUAUAGGAGCUGACGCCUGCCCGGUGCUGGAAGGUUAAGGGGAUCUGUUAGAGCAAUCGAAGCAGUGAACUUAAGCCCCAGUAAACGGCGGCCGUAACUAUAACGGUCCUAAGGUAGCGAAAUUCCUUGUCGGGUAAGUUCCGACCCGCACGAAAGGCGUAACGAUUUGGGCACUGUCUCAACAACAGACUCGGUGAAAUUGUAAUUCCGGUGAAGAUGCCGGAUACCUGCGACAGGACGGAAAGACCCCAUGGAGCUUUACUGUAGCUUGACAUUGGGUCUUGGUACUACAUGUACAGGAUAGGUGGGAGGCUUUGAAACCAGGACGCCAGUUUUGGCGGAGCCAUCCUUGGGAUACCACCCUUGUAGUACUGGGACUCUAACCAUAGGCCAUGAAUCUGGUCUUGGGACACUGUCAGGUGGGCAGUUUGACUGGGGCGGUCGCCUCCCAAAAGGUAACGGAGGCGCUCAAAGGUUCUCUCAGUACGGUCGGAAAUCGUACGUAGAGUGUAAAGGCAAAAGAGAGCUUGAUUGCAAGACAUACAGGUCGAGCAAGGAUGAAAAUCGGACUUAGUGAUCCGGUGGUUCUGCGUGGAAGGGCCAUCGCUCAACGGAUAAAAGCUACCCUGGGGAUAACAGGCUUAUCUCCCCCAAGAGUCCACAUCGACGGGGAGGUUUGGCACCUCGAUGUCGGCUCAUCACAUCCUGGGGCUGUAGUAGGUCCCAAGGGUUGGGCUGUUCGCCCAUUAAAGUGGUACGCGAGCUGGGUUCAGAACGUCGUGAGACAGUUCGGUCCCUAUCCGUCGCAGGCGUAGGAAAUUUGAGAAGACCUGUCCUUAGUACGAGAGGACCGGGAUGGACGUACCUCUGGUGUACCAGUUGUUCUGCCAAGGGCAUGGCUGGGUAGCUAUGUACGGAAUGGAUAAGCGCUGAAAGCAUCUAAGCGCGAAGCCAACUUCAAGAUAAGAUUUCCCACCG
rnacentral:rRNA from 1 species